GCAGGCCUAACACAUGCAAGUCGAGCGCCCUUUCGGGGGAGCGGCGGACGGGUUAGUAACGCGUGGGAAUAUGCCCAGAUCUAAGGAAUAGCCACUGGAAACGGUGAGUAAUACCUUAUACGCCCUUCGGGGGAAAGAUUUAUCGGAUUUGGAUUAGCCCGCGUUAGAUUAGGUAGUUGGUGGGGUAAUGGCCUACCAAGCCUACGAUCUAUAGCUGGUUUUAGAGGAUGAUCAGCAACACUGGGACUGAGACACGGCCCAGACUCCUACGGGAGGCAGCAGUGGGGAAUCUUGGACAAUGGGGGCAACCCUGAUCCAGCCAUGCCGCGUGAGUGAUGAAGGCCUUAGGGUCGUAAAGCUCUUUCGCCUGUGAAGAUAAUGACGGUAGCAGGUAAAGAAACCCCGGCUAACUCCGUGCCAGCAGCCGCGGUAAUACGGAGGGGGUUAGCGUUGUUCGGAAUUACUGGGCGUAAAGCGCACGUAGGCGGAUCGGAAAGUUGGGGGUGAAAUCCCGGGGCUCAACCCCGGAACUGCCUCCAAAACUAUCGGUCUAGAGUUCGAGAGAGGUGAGUGGAAUUCCGAGUGUAGAGGUGAA
rnacentral:rRNA from 1 species